UUGUAAUUAAACAAAGCUGUCCACUGUUUUUAUUAGCUCAAUUCCAUUAAGUAAUAUUUUAAAAACAAUAUAUUAUUUAUGAAAUUACUAUUUGUUAUAGUUUAACCAUUUAAAUUAACAUUAACUAUUAAUACUGUAUAUGCUGUAGAAGUAUGUUUCAUGUAAUCAUAGUUACUUAAUGUCAACAAAUACAUCACUAUUAAGCAUUAAAAUUUGACCUCCAUUUUAAAUGUCAUUUUCUAGAUAAACCUACUGCAGAAGCCCCUACUUUGUCUAUAGCUUUGGCUAAAGCUAAGGCAGAAAUUGAAACCUGGAGGGUGAAAUGUCAGAACCUGGAAGACAAAAUAAAUGACUUGACAAAAGAGAGAGACUACCUGAGAGAACAGCUGUCAGAUGCCAUCAAGAUGGAAAACAUACAUGUCAAAAAUAAAGAGAAGCCUGCAGACAUGCCCAAAAGAACAAAACAUUCUUUGGAAGAUUCAGAAAGUGCAUCCGCUGACUCCUCUGAGUCUUCUGACUCAGAGUCAUCAAGCUCGGAUUCAUCAAGAGAGAGGAAGAAGAAGAAGGUGAAGAAAGGGAAGAAAAGAGUUUAAAAAAUAAAAAAAUCCAAGCAUGAAAGCAAAUUCUUUCCAAGAGUUACUGAACCAUGGCAGGUGGUGAAGCGCUACAAAGCAGUGCUGGAGAUUUUCGACAGAGGAAGCAACAUGACAUAUGCAUUCAGAAAAUAUGGUGUGGACCGAAACACAAUCGUGCAGACUGCAGUUAUUGCUGAACUGGCCAUUGCAGCUCCAGAAAAAUUUUCCGAAAUUCAAAACAAUCGGGGAGAGAAAUUAUCAACCAUUACCCAAAAAUGUCAAGAUGCUAUUAUGGCAGAUAAAAGUAUUGCACAUAAAAUACAAGCCAUGAAAAAAGAGGGCAAAUUGCUUCCAAUAAGAAAAUAGU